CUCUCUCAGUCGUAACAAAUCAUAAAAACAAGCAGACAACAGACGCGUCAUUAGAGCGGUGGUUAGAUAUAGUUGGGUGUGGUGCCAGUGGGAGACAUGGAUUUAAAGGGGAGGAAGAUGGAAAGUUACAUCAAGAAGUCGUGGUGCUAGUCUGCUUGUGUGUGCGCUAUCACAACACGUCACAGCGGAGUGGGCUGGGGCCCUGGGCUGUGGCGGGCUGGAAACACAGGCCGGUGUAGGAGGCAGAUCGUGCCACCCCCCACACCCCCAACAAGAUGGUGUCCCAUUCCCCGCCUCCCCGUUUUAGAGGCGGUACGAUCGGCGGGAGACGCUGAAUUUUCUCACUUCAGUUUGUGUGUGGCUGUCACGGUGAACGGUUAGUGUUAAUACUAUUACUGGAAUGAUCUUCCUUCAAUGUUACGUCUGCAAGAUAGUGCAGGCACAGCACAGCGGUACAAUUUAUUCAUAUGACUUAUUGGUGCAGUGUGCACAGCAUCUGGGUUGUCGCUGGCUUUGUAAGCAGCUACAGUCAGCUUACGUUAGGUUAGUGCCCCCCCACACACACACAAGGAAGAGGAAGAAAAAUGCUGAUUGGACCAUGGGAGUGACACUGGCAGGAAGAAACAGAAGGGGCUGAGAGAAAAAGAAAGAUAAGGAUAUAUAUGGGCGCUGACACACACACACACACACACACACACACACACACACACAUAUUGUCAAAAUAUUCUAAGUAUAUAGUAAAUAACCCCAAAUAAUGAGUGAGAAAGAGAAGGAGUGCCGGCCAUCUUUGUUUACGAAUGAGGCUCCGCCCCCUCAUGCCCCCGGGCCUUUGCCAGACUCCGGCCUGGUUCCAACAUUAUUUCCAUUUCCGUGAUUUUAAAUACUGUGACUUUUUAACUAAGUUUUCGUGGUUUCUACAGAUAUUUAGUGGUGUUUUGAGUGUGUUUGGUGUGUGUGUUGCGGGAAAUGUGUCGAUUAUGAGGCUGUUUGUGUGUAGAAAAAAGUCGCUUUUUCCGGUCAUUUUUUAUACUUCGUCAUAAAACUUUUUUUAUUUCAAUCGCUAGGUAAAAUUUUAAUGCAUCAAAAAAUCGUUCAUGUCGUUUUAAGUGUGUUUGUGUCCUGUUGAGUGAAAUGUGGCGACUUUGAGAAGGAUUUAUUAGCCUGUUAAAAAGUUAAAAAGUCGCCAUUUUGUAUUUUUCGAAUUCUUACUAUCACCUCCUGGCAAACUUAUGAAGGCUUGAAGAAAGAGUUCACAGCUUUAGAAAACAUUCACCAUUCCUAAAAAGUCACAUUUGUCGAGUUCAGAAUGCUCUUUUCUUGUGUUUAUGUUACUAUAAUAUAUUUAUUACUUCUUUUAAAAUAUUUCUAUUAUUACUAGAUUUUGCAACAUUCUCAUACUCCCAAUAUUAGUUAAAGUGGAUGUUAUUUCAAAUUAUACUAGGCAUAUCAGCAUAGCUCCAUUUUCGCAAGGGGUCAUUUUUAUUUUGAAUCGAAAAACGUAUUUUUGCUGUGACGUCAUCAGCGGCCUUCAUCCGGGCACCUAGACAGGGACCCCGGAUGCCCCGCCCACCCGUCCCCCUCUACCAGUCUCCGUCUCAUGCACCCGCCGCCAGCCUUAUUCUCUCCCUCCCUCAAUGUUUACUGUGUGUGUGUGUGUGUGUGUGUGUGUUAAUACAAAAGACAAACCUUUUUCUUUUCUCUCGCCGCCACCUAUUUUCCCAUGCUUCUAUCAUAUCCAUGUCACCUCAUUCAGUCUUUCUGUGUGUGUGUGUGUGUGUGUGUGGCCAAGACACAAUUCAUAAUCAUGGAACACUUAGUGAGGGGAGGGGACGUAAAUAACUGAAGUAUUAUUUUAUAGCAGAAUAAAAUGCAGUAAGCAGUAUCUUCUGUAAAUGUAUCAAUGUAUGUAUGCUUGAAUAAAAUAAUAUUGAAAAUUGUGUAUUUUACCCUGCACCCUUCUCAGCAGUGCGAGUGUCAGUAGUCACCCGUGAAGUGCGUGACGUCCUGAAAGUAAUAGCCUAGUACUGCGUGCCAUUAACACCUGGUCAGUGCACAGUGCAUCCCUUACAGUUAGUUAUAGAAGGCUGAUGAAAUACAAAAUAUAUUUUGACAUAUAUUACAUAGUAAAUGUACAAACUGCAGCUAAAAUUAAUAAAUAAAAAUCAUAUUUUCAUAAUCUGCUUUCCAGAACUACACAAGUUGUUAUUUCCAAACUGUCACUGAUGAAUUUGAUGCAAAUUUUCCUGUCUGGUAAAAGAAAGAUAUAACAAUGUAACAGAAAUGAACAUGUGCCCUUUUGUAACCAUGACUAGAAAAGGAUUUGAAAUGUUUAAGGUUCUUUCAAACUGCACCAGUAUGGUAAUUGGUUACUACCAGGAAACAGCUAUGUCUUGGUGACAUUACAAAAAUAUUUUGAUAUAUCAACUUAAACAAAUUGUGCAAAGUUUUACCUCUCAGGUCACAUAACACACACUAUCAUAGUAACUCCAAUUAUACAAAGCAAAUAUUCUAAGUAACAGCCUUCUCUUUUGCGAAUGAAGAAUGAAAAUAAAUGUCCAUUGGAGGAUCAAAUUAGGAUAUGAUCUCAUCUUGUCAUAUGGAUAUGUAAGCUCAGGAAAAAAGUUUUCCUCUUCAUUUCUCAGGAAAUCAACUUUUGAAAACAGUCUAUAUGUAUUUGCAGUAGUUGCACAAUGAAUAAAAGAAUGAUCAAAUGGCAUUUCCAUUGACAGUCAACAAACUUCAAAACAUGAACAUUACUCCCAUGAAUUCAAGCACUGAAUCUUCCCUAGCGUCCCAAUACAACAAUUUUUAAAUCUGGCAAGGGCAGGAACCACGUAAGGAUCAACACACUUUACACUUACAACAAACUGAUAAAAAGCUAACCAAAGAUUGAACAGACUCAUCCUUCCAGUUUUGGUUAAUUAUAUUCGUGCAUCAUUUUCUUGAAUAGUUUGGUUACUAAGCAAAACACGACAGACGGCAACACGUGCACACCUUGAGGCUCAGGGUCGCCUGGCUGGGCAACGGUGCAGCUCCUCUCACUCCACUCUGCUGGGUUACACAGGCACACAGCACACACAGGGUUACACAUCAAGCUCACUAAUGUCACUUUAUAAAAUUUUAAUCAGCUCAUUCAUCACAUUCAUGCAUUUUUAAAAAGUUAGAAUCUCGAAUAUGAUACAAAGAUGAAAGCAUGUUUUCUCAAAUGCUGUUUUCGUCAUUAGGAAUCAAAGGAAAGGCACAGGACAAGUUUACUGGGUGCAGUGAAGUGUAGCGUCCACUGCUGUGCCUCCAUGAUAGUCACGCACACACUGACAUUUCCAAAGCCUAGUGGUAAGUAACUCAACAAUUACUGGAAUCAGAGGUAAUACUUCAACCAAAAUAAGCCCCAAAAUACAAAAUACCACAAAUCACAAACUCUUGCAUGUCUUUCCACUCUGAGACAAAGGUGUACAUGUGGUCUGGGUGACAGGAAUACUCUCUCAGGAGGUGGGAAAUGCAUGGACUCAGGCAAGCAAAGUGUGGUGCUGGCAUGCUUGUAUAUUUUGUUUCUUCCACUGAUUAACACUUAAGAAAACCUCCAGCAAAUUUCAUCACACCUGGUACUGUUAACUUCCUUUUCCACUGAUUAGAAAGGAAAAAAUUAAUUCAGCCUAUCUUGUCACACUUGCCCAAGAAAACAAGCAGCAUUGUUUCUCCUUGAUAAAAAGAAAACUAUACAUCCUCUCCAAAUGUAAGAUGCCACAGUAACAUAGUAAGCCUGAUCCCAUUCCUAAUACUGCACUCCACUGCUUAUUAUUGCUCAGCUCAGCACCAUAAAGGUUUUGAGGCUCGUCAGCGAUCUCACUCCUGCCUCAACACCACUCGUCCGUAAGCUCCCCACCAGUCAUUCAUCACCACCAGCAAGGAAAACUGAGAGAGAGAGAGAGAGAGAGAGAGAGAGAGAGAGAGAGAGAGAGAGAGAGAGAGAGAGAGAGAGAGAGAGAGAGA